rnacentral:lncRNA from 1 species
CGGCAUCUCUCUGGAGAGGCCGUUUGCGGGCCGCAGACGGAGAUCUGGGAAGGUUUACACUUCCCACUUACUCCUUGAUGGCUGCACUUAACAUUGCUGCCGGCCCUGGAAGAGCGGCUGACCUAAACGCGAUUUCUGAAGCAUAAAGCGAAGUUUCUCGUUGGUGCAGCCGACUGAUUUCGGUGCCCUGAAGAAUUUGGCCCCUGAUUACCAGCCAGCUGACAGACAUGAAUCAGGGGCGGUGAAAAAUCAGAGCUCUAAGCACUUUCAAUGGGUGUUGAAAUUAUGAUUUUUUGAAAUCUCCCUGAAUUCCAGACCUAUGUGGCUUUCUGUGGAGACCACACCCUGAGCUAAGUCUGGGUCCUUUCCCACGUCCUAAAAGUCCCUGCUAGCAACCAGACUGUGACCAUCUCCAUGACCUCUGAAAACAUGCUGUUUAGGUCAUUCACCAGGGAUGUAGGAGUCCUGGGUUGAAGUACACUGCUAGCAUGACUCAGAACAGAGCAAUGAUUUCAGUGGCUGUAGAAAGAGACAAAAACAUUGGAGCACAAUGGCACUUACCAUUUUUCUGUCAAGAUGGAGCCACUAUUAGGGAUGCUACUAUCAGAGAUGAUCAAUGUGAAGCAGACAUAUUUACUGGG